rnacentral:rRNA from 1 species
UACGGAGGGUGCAAGCGUUAAUCGGAAUUACUGGGCGUAAAGCGUGCGCAGGCGGUUUGUUAAGUCCGCUGUGAAAUCCCCGAGCUCAACUUGGGAAUUGCAGUGGAUACUGGCAAGCUGGAGUAUGGUAGAGGAAGGUGGAAUUCCCGGUGUAGCAGUGAAAUGCGUAGAUAUCGAGAGGAACACCAGUGGCGAAGGCGAGUCUCUGGACGACUCCUGACACUGAGGCACGAAAGCUAGGGGAGCAAACAGG